rnacentral:rRNA from 1 species
CCUACGGGUGACAGCAGUAGGGAAUUUUCGUCAAUGGGCGCAAGCCUGAACGAGCAAUGCCGCGUGAACGAGGAAGGUCUUCGGAUUGUAAAGUUCUGUUGAAGGGGAAAAAGAGCGGAGAGAGUAACUGUUCACGCAGUGACGGUAUCCAACCAGAAAGUCACGGCUAACUACGUGCCAGCAGCCGCGGUAAGACGUAGGUGGCAAGCGUUAUCCGGAUGUAUUGGGCGUAAAGGGAGCGCAGGCGGUUGCUUAGGUCUGAUGUGAAAGCCUUCGGCUUAACCGAAGAAGUGCAUCGGAAACCGGGCGACUUGAGUGCAGAAGAGGACAGUGGAACUCGAUGUGUAGCGGUGGAAUGCGUAGAUAUAAGGAAGAACACCAGUGGCGAAGGCAGCUGUCUGGUGUGCAACUGACGCUGAGGCUCGAAAGCGUGGGUAGCGAACAGGAUUAGAUACCCGAGUAGUC